rnacentral:rRNA from 1 species
CAGUCGCCGCGGGAAUACGUAGGGUGCGAGCGUUAAUCGGAAUUACUGGGCGUAAAGCGUGCGCAGGCGGUUAUAUAAGACAGAUGUGAAAUCCCCGGGCUCAACCUGGGACCUGCAUUUGUGACUGUAUAGCUAGAGUACGGUAGAGGGGGAUGGAAUUCCGCGUGUAGCAGUGAAAUGCGUAGAUAUGCGGAGGAACACCGAUGGCGAAGGCAAUCCCCUGGACCUGUACUGACGCUCAUGCACGAAAGCGUGGGGAGCAAACAGGAUUAGAUACCCGCGUAGUCCCUGUCUCUUAUAC